AAGGUCGAGCCGAAUUGGAUUUGAGGAGCUUGCUCUCAAGAAGUUAGCGGCGGACGGGUGAGUAACACGUGGGUAACCUGCCCAUAAGACUGGGAUAACUCCGGGAAACCGGGGCUAAUACCGGAUAACAUUUUGAACUGCAUGGUUCGAAAUUGAAAGGCGGCUUCGGCUGUCACUUAUGGAUGGACCCGCGUCGCAUUAGCUAGUUGGUGAGGUAACGGCUCACCAAGGCAACGAUGCGUAGCCGACCUGAGAGGGUGAUCGGCCACACUGGGACUGAGACACGGCCCAGACUCCUACGGGAGGCAGCAGUAGGGAAUCUUCCGCAAUGGACGAAAGUCUGACGGAGCAACGCCGCGUGAGUGAUGAAGGCUUUCGGGUCGUAAAACUCUGUUGUUAGGGAAGAACAAGUGCUAGUUGAAUAAGCUGGCACCUUGACGGUACCUAACCAGAAAGCCACGGCUAACUACGUGCCAGCAGCCGCGGUAAUACGUAGGUGGCAAGCGUUAUCCGGAAUUAUUGGGCGUAAAGCGCGCGCAGGGUGGUUUCUUUAAGU
rnacentral:rRNA from 1 species